UAAGGAAUAUUGCUCAAUGGCCGAAAGGCUGAAGCAGCAACGCCGCGUGAGGGAUGAAGACCUUUUGGUUGUAAACCUCUGUAGUGAGGGAGAAAUCUUCCCGCUUGCGGGAAAUUGAUAGUACCUCAAGAGUAAGCCCCGGCUAACUACGUGCCAGCAGCCGCGGUAAUACGUAGGGGGCAAGCGUUGUCCGGAUUUACUGGGUGUAAAGGGUGCUCAGGUGGUCGGAUAAGUCAGGCGUGAAAUCUCAAGGCUUAACCUUGAAACUGCACUUGAUACUGUUCGGCUUGUGUGCGGAAGAGGUUGAUGGAAUUCCAGGUGUAGCAGUGAAAUGCGUAGAUAUCUGGAAGAACACCAAUGGCGAAGGCAGUCAACUGGUCCGCUACAGACACUAAAGCACGAAAGCGUGGGGAGCAAACAGG
rnacentral:rRNA from 1 species